UAGCGUAGGUGGCAAGCGUUGUCCGGAUUUAUUGGGCGUAAAGAGCGUGUAGGCGGCCAGGUAGGUCUGGUGUGAAAACUCGAGGCUUAACCUCGAGAUGUCAUCGGAAACCAUUUGGCUAGAGUCCGGAAGAGGAGAGUGGAAUUCCUGGUGUAGCGGUGAAAUGCGCAGAUAUCAGGAAGAACACCAAUGGCGAAAGCAGCUCUCUGGGACGGUACUGACGCUGAGACGCGAAAGCGUGGGGAGCGAACAGG
rnacentral:rRNA from 1 species